ensembl:lncRNA
AUUAGACCAGCGGUGUCUGUAUCUCAGCCGAGGCCAUUCUUUCCAGGAGACGUGAGUCCUUAAGAGGUGCAGUGCUUUGAAGUGGAAAGGUGCCCGGUGUAAGACUCUGAAAAAGGAGGUUUUGGGAGAGAUUUGUUGGGAUUCCCUUCAGGGAACAGCGGGGGAGUCUGGCCUCUCGUUGGUCAAUCGUGCAUACAGUGCUGAUUUAAUUACACUGCUGUCGGACGGUCAUUGAACGCCUACUGUACAGACCAGGGGGACUCCGUAUAUAUGGCCGUUGUGACUGUCAUCGCCCAUUCAACGUGAAGACACCAAGCCAAAUCAACCCACAAUAAGGGGUGAGCGUCAAGAAUGCAGACAGGGGUUCAUGAAGAGGGAUCUAUGGGCAACAAUGGUGGAAACCCUGGUAGCAGAAAAAAGAGCAUCUACAUUGUUUUUAAUGGACGAGCCAACGGAACAUCUGACCAUGAAGUUUGCCAGGCUGUGGAUCCUCCAGCCCUGCAACCACAGAAAGUCAUUCUCCAUCCAUAUUAAAGCUCAGCCCUCUCCAUCACUGGUGCCCCUGACAACACAGGAAAUGGAUCCCACCCGACGGCAGACUCAGCCUCCACACUGUUUAUCACCACAAUUAUCCCCCAUUCAUUCACAGGCUUAUAAGGGGACAUACUGGGAUCUGCUAACGCACUGGAGGAAAGAAUGGAGGGAAGAAAUGGAAGAAGAGCUCAAUAAACAAAUGAAUAUGUAUUCAUGGAGUUGAUGUACUGACAAUAUACAGUAUCUGUGACAGAGAAACUGAGUCUUCAUGUUGUAUCAAAGUUUAAUGACCAUAAAACACUUCCAAGAGUGAGUAAAGUCAGUCAGUAAAGUCUAACACUGUAAUGAAGGCAUCAAUGUCAAAAAAUGUGUUUCUUUUAAUAACAAUGACCCAUACAUAUUUAACGUCCAUUGUCCUUCAAGAAUGGCUGAAUAUUUUCUUGUGGUGUACCUGGGUAGGACUGUGUGGUAGUGGCACACCGUACAUUAUCCUGCAUGAGUUAGUGAAAACAACAGUCUGUUGUGAUUCCAACUCAUGCAUUGUGUUAUGGCAGAAACAUGGCAGAUUCAUUAUCACAACUGUUAAUAUGGUGUCAUAUCUGCCCUUCCGUUUAUUGACAACCCAAUAAACGGUAUCAUAAAUAACAGUAUGUUGUUGAUGUGUUCAUUUGAACCAGUAAUGAAGUGAGGAAAACAGCCAGCUACCAACCUUCAAUGACCAGGUCCACUUCACAUCCAUCAAUCCCUGAAAACAAACAUUUUCCAACAUGAAGGUUUUGACCACAGAUGACACAAACACAUUCCAAACAACCACUCAAUCACUGCCACGUUGAGGAGGGCUCAGGAUCAGGAUUCAACUGGCAUAAUGAAAUCAUAAACAGAUCUCCUCAUCAAAUGGCUCUGUGAGUCGUGUGGUGGUCUGAUGGGGUUGACCCCUCACCCUCUCCCUGUGGGGGGUGGCUGGGGAGGGGGGCACGGGAGAUCACACGACGGCCCUGUUCGGGCUCCAUGUCCACACAGACUGGCCUGUUCAGAGAGGGUGGAGGGGUGGAAGUGUACCCCCUCGUCCGAAAGAGAGCACCAGGUGGCAGGGAUGUGGGCAGGGGGCUUUUGAUGCUGACCCCUGGUCUCUGGGCUGGGAUGGCCCUAGUCAUUGAUCCAGCCAAGGGAGGGAGGGGAGCCAGGUGCCCCUUGUGGGGCUUGGAAUGAGCUGCCACAGUCUGGACGUGGAGGAGAGGAAUCUGGGCCACACUGGUCCCAGUCACGCCGCUAGCCCGAGCCCCAGUGUUAACUGACUAUAACAUUGUUGACCGGCUAUAACAUUGUUGACCGGGUGAUGGACUAAGGGCUUGAUUCAAGCCGUAUCGCCGAAGUUGAGAGCUAUAGCUUGAUUUAAGUUUAAAUGCAAUGUUCCCGCGCUUGUGGAGACUGCAUUCACAGUCAACUUUGCAUAUGUCAGCUCAAUCGGAAAUUACCUUCACAUUGUAAGUGCGAUAUAACGCUGAACUUCGGCGAAACGGAUUGAAUUGAGACCUUACAUUGGCAGCAAUAGGGUAAAUAUAUACAUAUAUAUAUAUAUAUAUAUUUAUAUUUUAUUAUUUUUUAAUUUUACCCCUUUUCUCCACAAUUUUUCAUGGUAUCUAAUUGGUAGUUACAGUCUUGUCUCAUCUCUGCAACUCCAGUACGGACUCGGGAGAGGCGAAGGUCGAGAGCCAUGCGUCCUCCAAAACACAACCCAACCAAGCCACACUGCUUCUUUGACACAAUGCCCACUUAACCCGGAAGCCAGCCGCACCAAUGUGUUGGAGGAAACACCAUAAACCUGGUGACUGUGAUAACGUGCACUGCGCCCUGCCCGCCAUAGGAGUCGCUAGUGCACGAUGGGACAAGGACAUCCCCUCCGGCCAAAUCCUCCUGAUAACCUGGACGACGCACGGGCCAAUUGUGUGCCCCAUGGGUCUCCCGGGCGCAACAAAGACUGAACUCGAACCCAGAAUCUCUAGUGGCACACCUAGCACUUAGACCACUGCGCCACUCGGGAGGCCCUAAAAUAUGUAUUUUUAACUAGUGUCGAUGCAUGGAUUCUUUGAUUGGAAACGUUUAUAAUUUAAAUGGGGUGAUUGCUGAAUAUAACAGAAAGUAAUGCAAGGUAACACACUGAAAAAUGAAUGCUGAGUGGUGGUGACUGACAGCUGUGUUAGGUACCCAACCAGAUUAAAACAGGAGACACAGACAGAGCAGAAUUCCUCACCAUUGUCAGGGGUGUAAUAACAACAUCAGCCGCUACAUGAAUAAGAGGAAAAACAAACACGUUUUUUAAAGUGUGAUCAUUGAGUGUAUUAUUUUGGUGUGGUGUUAAAUCUGAAUUUCACUCGAGUGUUGUAUAAAAUGCAUGACUGGAAUAAAUAAGAGUUAGAGCAAGCCAGUGAGAAAUCAUUGUUACAAAUGUGAGCACCAUUACAAAUCCAUGCAUAAAGCUUACUGUGGUGUAGCCAGUCUCUUUCAUUCAUAAUGAGAUGAUAUCCUGCUGAAGUAGCUGGAAGAAGACACUACCUUGAAAUCUGCCAGCAUUCCCAACACUGUGUCUGUGUCUGGGCCAGGCUUGGAGGAGGGUUAGUGUUCUCAGUAUCUAAGCACUGUCUAUAAGAUGUUUACCACACACAUACACACCUGCACACUCCACUCACACACACACACUAAAGUGCCAACACACACACACGUGCACACACACACACACGUGCACACACUCACGCACACAGGGAAAUGAACGUGCACAUACACACACACAAAAGACAUGGACUACAAUUCUGACACUUCCCUGGGGCUUGGAUGUGAAAGCAGGCUGGAUGGAAGAAGAAUGAAGAUGUGUCUGAUUCCAACAGCAGCCAAUAGGAGAGUAGUACCUUACACCCAGUGCUCUCUGAUAGGUUCUCCUGGCACUCUUCAUCUCCGGGUCCGUAUCAUUGUCUUUAAUCACAAGCACACCGACAGUCCAACCCAGAGACAAGACCCAGGGAGGGGUGGAGGGAUGGAAGGAGGAACGGAACAGUAGAAGCAGCCAGGGUGUUAUUAUGAAUAAAGUAUUAAAACAGUUAGCACAUCAAAAGCAUACAGGGGCCAUGGUAUCAUACAUUAAAGUAACAUAGUAUAGCUUAAUGUCUCCUAAGGCAUGUUAUGGUGACGCUGCUUUGAUUUGAAAUGCAUUGUGUGCACGGCGAAUGGAUUUGUGCGAGUGGAGAGCGAAAGGGUGGCGUAGGUGCAGACCAUCAUUUAAAACCAACCUCAUAGGCUCUUCAAAGCCUUUGUGAUUGAGGGUAUUUAGUGUGCACUGGUGUAAAAGAGACCCAGAUAUUUAGCACUUACUGCUGCAGGAGAGACCCGGAUAUUUAGCACUUACUGGUAUAGGAGAGACCCAGAUAUUUAGUGCUUACUGGUGUAGGAGAGACCCAGAUAUUUAGUGCUUACUGGUGUAGGAGAGACCCGGAUAUUUAGUGCUUCCUGGUGUAGGAGAGACCCAGAUAUUUAGUGCUUACUGGUAUAGGAGAGACCCGGAUAUUUAGUGCUUACUGGUGUAGGAGAGACCCAGAUAUUUAGCGCUUGCCCAUGUAAGAGAGACAUAUGAUAUUUAGUGCUUACUGGUGUAGGAGAGACCCGGAUAUUUAGAGCUUACUGGUGUAGGAGAGACCCGGAUAUUUAGCUCUUACUGGUGUAAGACAGACCUGGAUUUUUAGAGCUUACUAGUGAAGGAGAGACCCGGAAAUGUAGCACUUACUGGUGCAGGAGAGACCCAGAUAUUUAGUGCUUACUGGUGCAGGAGAGACCCAGAUAUUUAGUGCUUACUGGUGCAGGAGAGACCCAGAUAUUUAGCUCUUACUGGUGCAGGGAGAGACCCAGAUUUUAGCUCUUACUGGUGCAUGAGACCCGGGCCACGGCUGUAAUAAACAACAGAUAUGCUGGUGUAGCUGGUGAUGCAUAGACCUACAGUUGAAGUCGGAAGUUUACAUACACUUAGGUUGGAGUCAUUAAAACUUGUUUUUCAACCACUCCACACAUUUCUUGUUAACAGCUAUAGCUUUGGCAAGUCGGUUAGGACAUCUACUUUUUGCAUGACACAAGUAAUUUUUCCAACAAUUGUUUACAGACAGAAUAUUUAACUUAUAAUUCACUGUAUCACGAUUCCAGUGGGUCAGAAGUUUACAUGCACUAAGUUGACUGUGCCUUAAAGAGCUUGGAAAAUUCCAAAAUAAUAUCAUGGCUUUAGAAGCUUCUGAUAGGCUAAUGACAUCAUUUGAGUCAAUUGGAGGUGUACCUGUGGAUGUAUUUCAAGGCCUACCUUCAAACUCUGUGCCUCUUUGCUUGACAUCAUG